rnacentral:rRNA from 1 species
GAUGAACGCUGGCGGCGUGCCUAAUACAUGCAAGUCGAGCGAACGGACGAGAAGCUUGCUUUUCUGAUGUUAGCGGCGGACGGGAGAGUAACACGUGGAUAACCUACCUAUAAGACUGGGAUAACUUCGGGAAACCGGAGCUAAUACCGGAUAAUAUUUUGAACCGCAUGGUUCAAAAGUGAAAGACGGUCUUGCUGUCAGUUAUAGAUGGAUCCGCGCUGCAUUAGCUAGUUGGUAAGGUAACGGCUUACCAAGGCAACGAUGCAUAGCCGACCUGAGAGGGUGAUCGGCCACACUGGAACUGAGACACGGUCCAGACUCCUACGGGAGGCAGCAGUAGGGAAUCUUCCGCAAUGGGCGAAAGCCUGACGGAGCAACGCCGCGUGAGUGAUGAAGGUCUUCGGAUCGUAAAACUCUGUUAUUAGGGAAGAACAUAUGUGUAAGUAACUGUGCACAUCUUGACGGUACCUAAUCAGAAAGCCACGGCUAACUACGUG